rnacentral:rRNA from 1 species
ACGGAGGGUGCAAGCGUUGUCCGGAUUUAUUGGGUUUAAAGGGUGCGCAGGUGGGUAUUUAAGUCUGGUUUGAAAGCAGGUGGCUCAACCAUCUGAUGUGGCUGGAAACUGGAUAUCUUGAAUGGGUUGGCGGUAGCCGGAAUGGGUCAUGUAGCGGUGAAAUGCAUAGAUAUGACCCGGAACACCGAUUGCGAAGGCAGGCUACUACGACUUGAUUGACACUGAGGCACGAGAGCAUGGGUAGCGAACAGG